UUUCAAAUGUCUAUAUUGUUUUUUCCUUUCUCGAGUUUUUCUCUUAUCUGAUUUACUAAACAUUGUACGAAAAAAAUGGAAGGCAAUUACGACGUAAUAUAAAUCCGAUUGAUUAAUGGAUUGAAAAUUAUUAUAAUUAUUUUCAGGUUAGUUUCUUAUUUAUUGACAAUUGCCAAAAUUAGGUUUUAUAUUUAAAUUCCUACAGGUAUUUCUUACAUUUUCCCGUUUUUAUACGCGAUUGCAACGCUGAGUAUGAAUCUAGGAAUUAUCUAUUAGAAUCCGAGCAGAAUAACUAGACAUUUACUAUCGUGUGCAAAAGUAUGAUUUUUUAAUGAGAAACUGAUCAGAAAUUUUUACACUUUUCUUACAAUUCGUCAAAAUCAGUUUCUACAUUAGAAGAAUAAGUCAGAAUCCUUUUAGUUUUUCUUUCUUAUGGAAAUCUCAUUGGAAUCCAACAAUAAAUGUGGCAAAGACAGGGAGAUUUCCACACGGGCGGUUCUCUCUAUUCUUAUAUGUUCUGUGAUUCUCUCUUUCACUCACAUGCAAUUGGACGUAUUAUGCCCGUUUCCUCCAAUGUGGUUCAACUUAGGCCCGGUUUCACAAUUCACGGUUAGCUCGAGUUAACCGAAGUUUAACUCGCUGAACUCAGUUUAGCGCAUUUGUGGCGUUCCACAACCACCUUAAACCUUCGUUAAGGUUCACUUGCCUCGGUUAAAGAUGAACCCCCGAUUUUGGGCGUUUAACCAAUUUAACCGAGGUUUACAACCCUGGCACCAAUGAAAUUGCUGUGAAAGUUUCGCACAUCUUGUAAUCAUAUUUACUUUUGAGUAAAUAUGAUGUAUCAUAUAUCAUUUUUUGCUUUCAAUAAUUUCAACUAAUGUAAUUUUUUCAUCUCUUGAAAAAUUCGGUAGCCGCUUUUUAUUCAUAUUAUCCUUCACGGACAAUUCUUUUUUACAGGACAUCACAAUUAUUUUAUUAUAUAACUUUUAUUGAACAAAAGUAAAAGUUCUUCAGCCGUUUACGAGCUCUUACAACAAUUCUUCUUCUUAUCCUUUUGAGUGAUACUCAGUAACUAUAAAUGAACAGGAAACGAUGAACAGGAAAUGAACGAUUUGACUAUGAUGCAAAAAUAAAUGCAAUAAUAAAAUACAGAAAGACAGUGAUCAUUCCGGCAGACCGAUUGAGAUGUAAUCGACAGAAAAAUAUAUCAGUAACGGGCGAAAACGUCCGAACGUGUAUGCGGUCACAAACAAGCUCUCAACUAUAAUAUAUACCUUAGAACUUUAUGGUUUUAUGUUACGGCUAUUGUAAAAUGGGCUACAUCGGCAUGCUUUUCCCUCUUUUUUUUCAAAAUUUUAACUAACCAAUCACAAUUUACGUUUAAGGAGAAAGAAGCAUAUAUUCUGAGUUUCAGUAAAUAGGGUAUAGGGUUAAUCGGGUUAAUCUGAAAGUUGUGAAACCGGGCCUUAGAAUUCAUGUGAACUUCGUUCAAUUUUGAACGCAGUUUAAUCUUCGGUCAACUCGUUUUGCUUUCCUCCAACUUUACCUUCGUUCAACUGAACGUACACUUCGUGCGUGUUAAUUCAAAUUAAAUUUGUAUCAAGUAAUGUGAUUGGUGCACAGCUAAUGAGUGUGACAAAAAGAGGGAAAGGUUGGGCAAGGUUGGGUAAUUGGCAUGGGUAACGAAUCCCGGAAAAAAUCUAAACGGCAAUAAGUUUUGAGGUAAUUAAGUAAAAACAUUAAAAAAUAUUUAAAUAAUCUUUAUUAUUGUGAAAUAAAUCGGAAUUUAAGAAUAUGUAUAACAAAUAAAAAAUAAAAAUUUGAAUAACUACUUAGAUGUAAUCGAAUAAACUUAAAGCUAACCUUAAAAGUCAGGCGGUAUGUUUCAUCAAAUAAUUCUUAAAAAAUUCUUUUUUUAGAAUUCAGUUUUGUUUAUGAAAAUAUGGAGCAAAAUAAAAACGGAAGAACCAAGAAUUUUACAGAAUCGGAGAAAUGCUUCUCAUUGAAUUAGUGCGUGAAAGAUGUAAAAUAUUAGAAAAUAAAACAACAAAUACAAUUUCUGUGAAAGAAAAAGUUUGUUGGGAAGACUUGAGACUUAAUUUCAUGUCCCGUUCCAAUGGAGUUUCACGAUGUGUACAGUUUCUAAAAACAUGUUGGGACAAUAUGAAAAAGAGAACUAAAAAACAAUAUGCUGAGAAGAAACAAGCAAUUUAUAAAACUGAUUGAUAUCUAUUGGCAUUUACAAUCAAAGAAAAGCAAUAAAAGAUUGAUGAAUAAACUAUUAGAUUCUAUUAUUUUAUUAUAUUUUUUAAGCAGAGGACAAUAUAAAGCUAUAAGUGAUCCAGUAGCUGAGCAAGUACGGAAAAUAAUAAGACCGUCAGUAGAAGGCUUAUCGAAUGUUUUUGAUAAUGACUGUAUCGAAGGAUCUCAAAUUUUGAUAAAAAUGUGGAAUUCGUAGAAGAAUAGCUGGACUACUCAAAUGAAAAUAUUAUAGAAGGAGAAAGCGAUAUAGAAGAAGGUUGAAGAUGAUAAGGAAGAAGACAUAGGUGAUACGAAAGAUGAUGAUGAAUUUAACAUGGAUGAACUAGUAUUAAACUUUCUUCAAAAAGUUAAAUUGAACUGGAAAAAUUAGCUGGAAUCCACAAAAAUUAAAAACAUAAAUUAGUGUACCACUUAGAACAUCUGCGGUGACUAAAAGAAAAUCUACAGCGAAUCAUUCAGCAAGAAGAAAAAAAAUCAAAAAUAAAUGAUUCCAGCCCGUUAAUAUUUAAAGAAGCUAAAAAAACAAGCAAUCAGUUAA